rnacentral:misc_RNA from 1 species
UUUUCCCCCAUCAUGCACUGCGGCUUCACUCACAUCUCAUCGACCGCAUAGACAGUGUGUUUUUCCAAUGUUUCGAUAAAUUCCAACCGCAUUUUUUACCUUAAAGGCACCCGAAAUCGAAAUAAAAACCAUGUCAUCACCGAGUAGGAAUUCCAGUGGACCUACUCUGCGAAGAUCAAGACGAUUGAGUAAGGGAAAAGUGAACAGUUCUUUGUCGGCGACUGGCACAGCUCAACAACCCACAACAUCAAGAACAAAAACAAGUGGGAGCCCACAGGAUAGGAGUAGUCGGCCCUACAGCCUACGACGGAAAGCCUCGCCAAUCCCCCCACCAUGCGAAACCAUCAGUGUACAUCAGGGUAUUCUGGCCGGCUCUUCCUCCGGUACCACCUCCAUCACUGCAUCCACCGCGUCCAAAGCCAAGAGAGCACGGCUCACGCAUCACCAAGCUGCCCAGAGUGUUAACUUGUCUAAUCCCGAAGACAACUUUCUCCAGUAUCAUGUCCCGUCUGAAAUCCUGCUCAAGAUCUUCUCUUACCUCCUGGAGAAGGACUUGUGCAAUGUCCUGUGCGUCUGCAAACGCUUCAACACGUUAGCGGGGGACCCUACAGUAUGGAAAAAGAUGUACCAGUCAGUCUAUGAGAUGUCCCUGCCUGUACUGCGUCCCUCACCCACCAGGUUUAAGUUUGUACAACCAGACAAGGUCGAUUCCCCUAACAUUUGGAAGGAGAGCUUCAAAACACUAUACAAUGCAGUUCACGUCAAGCCGGGCCACGCGCGCCGCGUCUACGACAACAUGGAAAUGUACAAAGGCAGGGAAAUCCAGUAUUACGACACGAUAGAGGAGGCUCUGUCAUCCGUGGAGGGUAACGAUUACCCACUCAUCCUACUACACGCUGGGGUGUACAGUGGGGAGUGGCUGUACAUCGACACACCCGUCUGCAUACUUGGUGCUGCGCCUGGACAUAUUCCGGACAGCGUCAUCGUAGAAAACUUCAAGGAGUCCACAUUUGUUUUCUUUGAGGGCUGUGAGGAUGCCUACUUAGGACAUAUCAGCAUUAGGUUUAACCCUGACCACCAGUCCAACACACCCCACCACAAGCACUCCUGCGUGGAGGUGGGCUCCUGCUGCUCCCCCAUCAUCGAUAGCUGCAACAUCCGCAGUCGCUCACAAGGUAGAGCAAGGGUGGGUGCAGCCGUUAGUGUCAGUGGCAAGAACGCAGCGCCCACCGUCAAGAAUUGUGUCAUCAGUGACUGUGAGAACGUAGGACUGUUCAUCAAUGACCACGCCCAGGGUCACUUUAUGGACUGUGAAAUCAGCGGCAACGCCCUAGCCGGUAUCUGGGUCAAGAACCAUGCCAAUCCCCUCAUCAGACGGUGUCAUAUUCACCACGGUAGGGACGUGGGCGUCUUCACUUUUGACAAUGGCAUGGGUCAUUUUGACAGAUGCGACAUCCAUCAUAACCGGAUAGCAGGCUUUGAGGUCAAGGCAGGAGCCAACCCUACGGUGGUGCACUGUGAGAUCCAUCAUGGCCAGACGGGAGGCAUCUACGUCCACGAGAACGGCAGGGGGGAGUUCCUGGAGAACAAAAUCCACUCAAAUACCUUCGCCGGUGUCUGGGUGACGUCAAACAGUGAUCCCACAAUCAGGGGCAACGAGAUUUUCAAUGGGCAUCAGGGUGGGGUGUACAUAUUUGGGGAGGGGCGGGGUUUGAUAGAGAACAACGACAUCCACAGUAACGCGCUGGCCGGCAUCCAAAUCCGAACCAACAGUAAUCCCAUCAUCAGGGGCAACCGCAUUCACGACGGCCAACACGGCGGUAUUUAUGUGCAUGAAAAGGGUAAAGGGCUGAUCAUAGAGAAUGAAGUAUACAGCAACACGCUGGCCGGAGUCUGGGUGACAACAGGUAGCUGUCCAGAGCUCAGGAGGAAUAGAAUACACAGCGGCAAACAGGUGGGAGUGUACUUCUAUGACAAUGGCCACGGCACGUUGGAGGACAAUGACAUCUUCAAUCACAUGUACUCUGGGGUGCAGAUCAGGACAGGCAGUGACCCUAUCAUCAGACGCAACAAGAUCUGGGGCGGGCAGAACGGCGGAAUCCUGGUCUACAACGGAGGUCUCGGUGUACUGGAGUACAAUGAGAUAUUUGACAACGCCAUGGCGGGUGUCUGGAUCAAGACCGACAGCAACCCUCACCUACGAUACAACAAGAUACAUGACGGCAGAGAUGGGGGAAUCUGUAUCUUCAAUGGAGGAAGGGGCUUACUGGAAGAGAACGAGAUCUUCCGUAACACCCAGGCGGGCGUCCUGAUCAGUUCCCAGAGCCACCCUAAGCUCAAGCGGAAUAAGAUCUACGACGGCCUGGCAGCGGGUAUAGAGAUCACUAACAACGCCACGGCUUACCUAGAGGGAAAUCACGUCUUCAAUAACAAGUUUGCUGGCAUCUGCCUGGCUACGGGGGUCAACCCGGAAAUGAAAGAUAACAAGGUGCAUGGUAAUAAGAAUGCCAUAGAGAAGGCAGUCAAGUGUGGCCGCUGCCUCUACAAGAUCUCCAGCUAUACCAGCUACCCUAUGCACGACUUCUACAGGUGCAAAACAUGCAACACAACGGACCGCAACGCCAUCUGUGUCAACUGCAUCAGGCGGUGCCAUUCAGGCCAUGAUGUAGAGUUUGUCACGCACGACAGGUUUUUCUGCGAUUGUGGCGCCGGUACCCUGUCCCUCCAAUGCCAACUUGCUGGGGAACCCACCAAGGACACCGACACGCUGUACGACUCGGCGGCACCCAUCGAGUCGCACACCCUAAUGGUCAACUAGCGACGAUUUCCCCGUUAACCCUCUUCCCCAACUACUACCUGCCUUUUCCAACCCCACCCCAAACACUUCCACCGCAUCGUUUCAUCGGUUCAACAGUCGGCAUACACAUUCACAAGUACUGUAUGGUAGAGACAACAGAAAAAUAUCAUUGCUGUACCAGUUUUCUUGCAAUAUGGAAUCUUAUUUGCGAAACCCUGUAAAACUUCACCAUUAUUUCACUCCUUUUGUACUCAUUCACCGUUUUUGCAUGAGUUGACAUCUUUCGAACCUUAAACGCCGGCACACACAAUCCAUAAGGGCACUAGACCAAAAAAGGGCGCCGUUUUCUUAAAACUACUCGGCACACAAAGUACGUUUCAAAAUGUUGAGGUUUUGCUGAGCAAAACCAAGCGUGCAUUGAAAAGCCCAUUUUGUGUUUGUGUUCUGUGCGUGAACUGUUCCAAGCAUUUUUUCAGGGUGCUAUGGGGAGUCCGACCCUGUAUGUAUAAUCAAUGGCCGCCUAGUUACAGCCUCCACAGGAUGGACGCGUUGUCACAGCUUUGCCAUUCACGCCUGAAUGCUGCCGCGGGAAAUGAUCUUCAUAAGCCAAAAAGCACAGUCACUCAUUUUGAGUCAGUGGAGACGUAGUGCAUGAACAAGUAAUGGUGGCCAAGUUAUGGUGCGCAUUGUCACUGCUCAUAUACCACUCAUGGUGCUGUCAUGGGUACGGUGGAAAAAAAUUGGACAAGUCUUGCGUUAUUUGCAUCGCUGUUGUCGGUGGAAUGCAUCAAAAGCUGUCGACCACAUCACCAUCGUCAUUUUUUUUCCCAGAGUCAAUCUAUACGAUAUGUUUCUGAUGUGAGUAGGCCCAUGCACAAGUCAACAGUGUACAAGAUAGGUUGUUGGCUUUACUCGGCUGCAAGCCAUGCCUCCUCAAAAGUCAAAUCGAUAAGGCAGCGAAAAACCUUGAGGACUUGCGUACGGGUUGCCGUUUAGAGGUGAAGACAUUGGGAAAGUGGGCAUUACGUUUGGAGAUUGUUCAAUCUAUUCUGUUGCCUGACUCCUCUGUGGUCGCAGAAGACUUACUGAUAACCGAGACGCUAAGAAAUGGGGUCAGGUGACAUGGUCAGGUGACAUCACGGAGUAAUGGUAGCAUAAUCGUCAGAAUGUCAAACUUGAUGCGUUUUGCUGCAGUACGACAAAUACUUCAAUCGCCGCGUGGGCUUCGCAGCAUAGAUAUGUAUUUAUUAUUUAACGAUCACUGGGUUCUGAUUGAGAUAUUGGGUACAACAGAAAAUGGUUCAUCCAUUCUGGUAAGAAAAAAAAUGCUCCAGUCAAUAUCUUUGUUCAACUUUAAAAAAAAAAAAUCAUAAUGCACCUAGUCAGUUUUCCCUUUUGCGGCUCAUUUGAAAGCUAAUGAGAGUGAUGACGAACUGAAUGGGUUGUUUUGUCUCCCAGUUUAAAAGGUCGAGUAAAGGAGAGAAGAUCAAGUUCUGUGGUGGCAGAGUUCAGCUCACUUUGUGGGAAACUUUGGCAGAAAUUGAAAUUUUCCAGCCAAAAGAGAUGUAUUUUUGUCAUUAAUAUUUAUUAUUAAAUCUGACUUAUCAAAAAAAACGACAAAAAUGAACAGCAUUUUUCCUUUUUCUUUUUUCAUUGAUGAAUUCCAAUUAUCUUAUUGGACAUCCGUGGUCUUAAGUAUUAAAAAAAAAUUAUCAAAUUAAAUAUCAAAUUACGAUUUUGAUUUACCCUUUGAUCAAAUUGACGAUUGAUUGCGAGGAGAAUGAUUUGAAAUUAAGCACGGGGACAUAACAAUAACAUGCCUAAAAGCAAUUUUUUUUUUUCUUCUCUAAAUGUGCUUCCUGGACGGCUUAAAAUGUUCGUGUUUGGUUGUAGAGUUUUUAUAAGGUUCAUCUCAUAACCAAAUCAACUCAUUUUUUUACACGUAGAUGUGACUUAGUUAUGUGUUUUUGGUUUGUUUUUGUCACCACAAAUUUGCAGUAUUUCUAAGUGCCAUGCCUUUGCCCCUUGGCGGUUAAAUUGUAAAACAGUCGUAGCGGUCCACAAAGUAGUGUUCAUUGUUUUUACAUUUGAGUGUCAUUUGUCAUUAUGUUUUCAUUUGUUCAACCAUGGAUCCUCUAUACAAGGAUAAACGACUUCCCCAAAUAUCUGGUUACAUGCGCGAUACGUCCCUUGCGCGUUGUGCGUGCGCAUAUGUGAGACUCGGUGCGCAACUGCAGGUGAAUUUCUGACGGGUUUCAAUGAGAUUUCGUGUAGGCCGGCGCCAGCUGUCGGGGAGUCAUGGCGUGCGCGCAUUAUUGUAUAUGUUCUAUUCUUUGUUCUGUGCGCGGACGCGUAGUAUCACGCAUGUAGACAAUCCAUUCCAUGCAUUUUGUACACAAGCUCAGAUGAGUCGUUUAAUCCUUGCGUAGAAGAUCCGUGGUUCAACUAAGUACAAGACUGACGCUAUCCAAACUACAAGUGUUUUUAAGACUUUUAUACAAACUGAUGUCCAAAAAAAUGUCCUUCACAAACACAAAAUUUAAUUUUGGGAUGAAAAAACCAAAAUGGCGUCCCCCCAUUAGUCUUGCACCAAAUAUCACCUUGUAUUUUUCAAAGGAAUUUGCAUUCAUUUUGGUUCAGUUUUCCCUGCACCUGACUCUAAAGGCCAAGUAAUUAAAAAAAAAAAAAUAUAGAAAAAAAAAUGAAAAUUUCAAUUGCAAUUUGUUACAAUAAAAACACAAAAAGGUUUUUGCAGACAUAUGCACUGGUGCUGUAGGAUUACUAACAACUGCAACGGGCAGGGUUUUUUUCCCCCUUGUUUAUUUGUUGUUAGGGUAGCUUUUGAUUUUUAUUUAUUAGUGAUGUAAGUUUGAACACGUAGCAGUAAAAAAAAAAAGUGUCACACGUUACUCUCCACAUUUUGUACUUAAAACAUGUAAUGUUUCCGAAGGGUUGAGAUAUUAUCUUCUUUUUUUUUAUGACACCAAAAGAUUGAAAUAAAUUCAAGGCAUUCUUGCACCUAA